CUGUGAGCACCAGAGCCUGCAGGAUGUCAGACAGCGACACGAUGCCCUUGACCACAUCACUCUCAUCCACCACCACCAGACGGUGAACCUGGCACAGAGCAACGACAAGCAGGGUGUUGAGGGAUGGACACACAGCCGGAACCGACCUGGCAUUUGGAGAGAUGCAGACAAGUGGCUUAAAGGAGUCCUGCAGUCGAGAUAUCAAGCAAACUUCUUUACAUUUGUUGACGACCUGCAGGUGGGAAACUCAUGGUUCAGGCAAGGACAUCCCUAACAAUGCCAAGUGCUCAAUCUACUUGGUCAGAACACUCAGCACCACAGUGUUCUCAAGUAACACAGCAAGACUCAAACUCCCUAUGCGGCCAAGAAUGACCUUGAGCUGACCUUCCUGACUCUAGCUCUUACAGUGCCCACAUCAGAUGACCCACAAGCACCUGUAACUCCAGCUCCAGGGACAUCACCUGUGGCCUCUGUGUGGUCACCUGCACUCAGAUGUGCACACACACAAGUACACAUAAUUGAAAACAAUAAGUAAAUAAAAACCAUUUUCUUUCUCUGGCACUUUCUAUCACCCCUGGAGUUAACAAUGGUCCAGUUGACUUUUUCUGUCUGUUUCCUUGUGGGACAGGAAACAGUUGGACCACCUUUUAAAUACUCUCUUUAGAUGUCUGCUAAUUUUGGUUUAAACAGGAUUCAGGAGCUGGGCCAUGGUUCAGUGAAAAGGGGCUUACCCCAAGUGUCAGAACCUGUGUGAAAGCCUGGGAAGCACAGACAGAGGAACCCAGGGUAAGCUGAUGGCAGACAGUCACAACUGUCGAGUUGUGGUUUAGGGAGACCCCGCCUCAGUAAAUGAAGUGGGGAAGAGUGACUGACAGAAGAAGACACCUGAUAUCAAGCACAAGCCUCCACACGCGCCCGUGGCACACACAGAAACCGGCCUCCAAUUCUAUUUCUGCACAUUUUAUCUAAAUCGUAUCUUAAGUGGGAACACUUGAAUGCCAACUGGAGGCUCUAAAUGCAUAAAUGAGGUUGUUGACUGUAAGCCAUUCAGAGAACAUCCAGUACUUGUGUUUGUAGGUUUUCUUGUCAAGGAGAGUCUACAGAUGAUCCUUUAACCCUGAGCCUGGAAGACUGAAGUCUUUUCUGGUUAGAAUUCUGGACGCUGGAUGGGGGAGGCUCGGCAUCCAGCAUAGUUUCCUUCAGGUUCUGGUUUUCAGUACAGUGUGUGAACUGCUCUCCACACCCGAGUCCUGGCCUGGGUGGGGAGGAACCGCAGCUCAGCAGUAUGCAACCAGACAGUCGGUCUUGGGAUAUGUCUGUUCCCUACACUUUCAAACUUCCUUUACUGUUAACUACAAUGCACUCUUCUCAGGUCAGCUAAGUCAUUUAAUUAUCUCCCACACACUCUCCAGCUUCCACAACCCAUUUCUACAGUUCCCUCUCCUGUUCUUAUUUUUGUAGGUUUGUACUAAAAAAAGAAAAAAAGUCCUCUAGGGUAGUUGUGUGUGCAUGUGUACAUGUGCACAUGCCAAGGCAUGUGAGGACUGCCUUGUGCAGCUGGUUCUCUCCUCCCGCCUUUUGGUGGGUUUUGGGUAUCAAACUCAGGUUGCCAGGCCCGAACGGCUAGCAGCUUUAUCUGCUGAGCCAUCUCAUCAGCCCAGGAUUUUGAUUUUGAUUUUAUGUUCAUGCAGUCCCUGUGGCGGCCAGAAGAGGGCAUCAGAUCCCCGGGAACUGGAAUUACAGACAAGACCCUGUGAGCUGCCAUUGGAGGUAGGAAAGGAAACCAGGUCCUUUAGAAGAGCACGCUCUUAAUGGCUGAGCUAUCUCUGAGCCCUUUGCUCUGUUUCUCAAAGGACUGAAGGUGGAUGUAGGCACUCAAUCUACCAUGGUAACUGGAAGACUUCCAUUGUUUCUCAAACAUGAAAACCCAACUCACAGAUACCAAGACAGCUUUAGACACCAGCCGAAGAUAUACUACACCGAGUUAGAUGCUAUCAUUUUAAGUCAGAAGCCCACACGCGUAUUGAAUUUGGAUUUCCCAGUUUUAAAAAUAAUUUAAAUCACUUUCCAAAUUUAAAAACUCUACAAAUUUACAUAAAAAUCCAAAUUCUCAGUUUCUUUACAAAAAUGAGAUCUGGCAAAAAUAGGUCUUAAUUGAGCAGAUAUAGAUAGUUGCUGUCUCCUUUUAAGUGGGACACAAGAUUUAUAAGUUGUUGUUUGUCAUAUUUAGUCCACCUCAUCUGUUUCAUCCAAAUAAACUGAGUUUCUGCUGCC